rnacentral:rRNA from 1 species
GACGAACGCUGGCGGCGUGGAUUAGGCAUGCAAGUCGGACGGUAGGGCUUUAUCGUAAGAUAGAGUUUGAGAGUGGCGAACGGGUGAGUAACACGUAGGAAUCUACCCUUAAGACGGGGACAACCCAGGGAAACUUGGGCUAAUACCGGAUGAGAGUGCGAGAGAUUGCAUUUAAAAGGAUGGCGAAAGUUGUCGCUUAGGGAUGAGCCUGCGGUCUAUUAGUUAGUUGGUGAGGUAAGAGCUCACCAAGGCGAUGAUAGAUAGGCGGCCUUAACGGGUGGUCGCCCACACUGGGAUUGAGAUACGGCCCAGACUCCUACGGGAGGCAGCAGUGGGGAAUAUUGGACAAUGGGCGGAAGCCUGAUCCAGCCAUGCCGCGUGUGUGAAGAAGGCCUUUAGGUUGUAAAGCACUUUAAGCGGGGAGGAGGCUACCUGGGAUAAUACCCUGGAGUAGUGGACGUUACCCGCAGAAUAAGCACCGGCUAACUCUGUGCCAGCAGCCGCGGUAAU